GGUUGUGGCUCAGUGGCAGAGCGCUUUCCUAGCACCUGCAAGGCCCUGGGUUCAAUCCCCAGAACCA
rnacentral:tRNA from 1 species